rnacentral:tRNA from 1 species
GCACUUCGUUUACACCGAAGAGAUGUCCGUGAAAACCUGACCAUUUUGA